CCGGUUGAUCCUGCCGGACCCGACUGCUAUCAGAGUGAGAUUAAGCCAUGCGAGUCAACGUAGCAAUACAAGGCAGACGGCUCAGUAACGCGUAGUCAAUCUACCCUAUGGACGGGAAUAACCUCGGGAAACUGAGAAUAAUACCCGACAGAACAUUAUACCUGGAACGGUUUAUGUUUCAAAUGAUUUAUCGCCGUAGGAUGGGACUGCGGCCUAUCAGUUUGUUGGUGAGGUAAUGGCCCACCAAGACUAUUACAGGUACGGGCUCUGAGAGGAGUAGCCCGGAGAUGGGUACUGAGACACGGACCCAGGCCCUAUGGGGCGCAGCAGGCGAGAAAACUUUGCAAUGUGCGAAAGCACGACAAGGUUAAUCCGAGUGGUUUCUGCUAAAGAAACCUUUUGCUAGUCCUAGAAACACUAGUGAAUAAGGGGUGGGCAAGUUCUGGUGUCAGCCGCCGCGGUAAAACCAGCACCUCAAGUGGUCAGGAUGAUUAUUGGGCCUAAAGCAUCCGUAGCUCGUUUUGUAAGUUUUCGGUUAAAUCCAUACGCUUAACGUAUGGGCUGCCGGGAAUACUGCAUAACUAGGAAGUGGGAGAGGUAGACGGUACUCGGUAGGAAGGGGUAAAAUCCUUUGAUCUAUUGAUGACCACCUGUGGCGAAGGCGGUCUACCAGAACACGUUCGACGGUGAGGGAUGAAAGCUGGGGGAGCAAACCGGAUUAGAUACCCGGGUAGUCCCAGCUGUAAACUAUGCAAACUCAGUGAUGCAUUGGCUUGUGGCCAAUGCAGUGCUGCAGGGAAGCCGUUAAGUUUGCCGCCUGGGAAGUACGUACGCAAGUAUGAAACUUAAAGGAAUUGGCGGGGGAGCACCACAAGGGGUGAAGCCUGCGGUUCAAUUGGAUUCAACGCCGGG
rnacentral:rRNA from 1 species